rnacentral:rRNA from 1 species
UUUGUAUAAUGGGUCAGCGACUUAUAUUCAGUGGCAAGGUUAACCAUCUAGGGGAGCCGUAGGGAAACCGAGUCUUAACUGGGCGUUCAGUCUCUGGAUAUAGACCCGAAACCAGGUGAUCUAGCCAUGGGCAGGUUGAAGGUUGAGUAACAUCAACUGGAGGACCGAACCGACUAAUGUUGAAAAAUUAGCGGAUGACUUGUGGCUAGGGGUGAAAGGCCAAUCAAACCUGGAGAUAGCUGGUUCUCCCCGAAAGCUAUUUAGGUAGCGCCUCGGACGAAUACUACUGGGGGUAGAGCACUGUUAAGGCUAGGGGGUCAUCCCGACUUACCAACCCUUUGCAAACUCCGAAUACCAGUAAGUACUAUCCGGGAGACACACGGCGGGUGCUAACGUCCGUCGUGGAGAGGGAAACAACCCAGACCGCCAGCUAAGGUCCCAAAUUACUACUAAGUGGGAAACGAUGUGGGAAGGCUCAGACAGCCAGGAUGUUGGCUUAGAAGCAGCCAUCAUUUAAAGAAAGCGUAAUAGCUCACUGGUCGAGUCGGCCUGCGCGGAAGAUGUAACGGGGCUAAGUAGUAAACCGAAGCUGCGGCAAUACUCUUUGAGUAUUGGGUAGGGGAGCGUUCUGUAAGCGGUUGAAGGUGUGUGGUAACGCAUGCUGGACGUAUCAGAAGUGCGAAUGCUGACAUGAGUAACGAUAAAGGGGGUGAAAAACCUCCUCGCCGGAAGACCAAGGGUUCCUGUCCAACGUUAAUCGGGGCAGGGUAAGUCGACCCCUAAGGCGAGGCCGAAAGGCGUAGUCGAUGGGAAACGGGUUAAUAUUCCCGUACUUCUUACAAUUGCGAUGGGGGGACGGAGAAGGCUAGGUGGGCCUGGCGACGGUUGUCCAGGUUCAAGUGCGUAGGCUUAAGAGUUAGGUAAAUCCGGCUCUUUCUAAGGCUGAGACACGACGUCGAGCACCUACGGGUGUGAAGUCAUUGAUGCCAUGCUUCCAGGAAAAGCCUCUAAGCUUCAGAUUGUAAGGAAUCGUACCCCAAACCGACACAGGUGGUCGGGUAGAGAAUACCAAGGCGCUUGAGAGAACUCGGGUGAAGGAACUAGGCAAAAUGGUACCGUAACUUCGGGAGAAGGUACGCUCUUGAUGGUGAAGUCCCUUGCGGAUGGAGCUGACGAGAGUCGCAGAUACCAGGUGGCUGCAACUGUUUAUUAAAAACACAGCACUGUGCAAAAUCGUAAGAUGACGUAUACGGUGUGACGCCUGCCCGGUGCCGGAAGGUUAAUUGAUGGGGUUAGACUUCGGUCGAAGCUCUUGAUCGAAGCCCCGGUAAACGGCGGCCGUAACUAUAACGGUCCUAAGGUAGCGAAAUUCCUUGUCGGGUAAGUUCCGACCUGCACGAAUGGCGUAAUGAUGGCCACGCUGUCUCCACCCGAGACUCAGUGAAAUUGAAAUCGCUGUGAAGAUGCAGUGUACCCGCGGCUAGACGGAAAGACCCCGUGAACCUUUACUACAGCUUGGCACUGAACAUUGACCCUACAUGUGUAGGAUAGGUGGGAGGCUUUGAAGCACGUACGCCAGUAUGUGUGGAGCCGUCCUUGAAAUACCACCCUUGUAGUGUUGAUGUUCUAACGUCGACCCCUAAUCGGGGUUGCGGACAGUGCCUGGUGGGUAGUUUGACUGGGGCGGUCUCCUCCCAAAGAGUAACGGAGGAGCACGAAGGUGGGCUAAUCACGGUUGGACAUCGUGAGGUUAGUGCAAUGGCAUAAGCCCGCUUGACUGCGAGAAUGACAAUUCGAGCAGGUGCGAAAGCAGGUCAUAGUGAUCCGGUGGUUCUGAAUGGAAGGGCCAUCGCUCAACGGAUAAAAGGUACUCCGGGGAUAACAGGCUGAUACCGCCCAAGAGUUCAUAUCGACGGCGGUGUUUGGCACCUCGAUGUCGGCUCAUCACAUCCUGGGGCUGAAGUCGGUCCCAAGGGUAUGGCUGUUCGCCAUUUAAAGUGGUACGCGAGCUGGGUUUAGAACGUCGUGAGACAGUUCGGUCCCUAUCUGCCGUGGGCGUUGGAAGAUUGAAGGGGGCUGCUCCUAGUACGAGAGGACCGGAGUGGACGAACCUCUGGUGUUCGGGUUGUGUCGCCAGACGCAUUGCCCGGUAGCUAAGUUCGGAAUCGAUAACCGCUGAAAGCAUCUAAGCGGGAAGCGAGCCCUGAGAUGAGUCUUCCCUGAUACUUUAAGUAUCCUAAAGGGUUGUCGGAGACUACGACGUUGAUAGGUCAGGUGUGUAAGUGCUGUGAGGCAUUGAGCUAACUGAUACUAAUUGCCCGUGAGGCUUAACCAUACAACACCCAAGGGGUUU